GUGGGGGGGACUCUCCAGGGACAUCAUGCGUCACAGAGCAGGGAAGAGGGGGUGGUGAAGGCAGGCAUGAGCAGGUAGGAGAAUGUCACCCUGUCACUGAUGUCAUAGGGCAGAACUGGGGAUCGAGAGAACAGAAGUCAAGGCAUGGAAAGGGUCAGGUGACUGUCUUGCCCUUCUCACCUCCUUCUCGGGGGACACAGACGGCCCCAUCUAGCUACCAGGAGAGCUGUUUACAUGGAAUCCAAGUUGCCUGCCAGGGGCAGAGCACGUUUUUCCACAGCUGCUGAGAAAGACGAGUGAGUCAAGACAGAAUAACAAAAAGCCACUUCAAAAACACACCAGAAGAAGUACGAAGCUGAGACAAUCACAGGACAAUAGAGCCCAUUGAAGAGGAGCCUGGAGUUGGAGGUAUUGGCUCAAGUCCCUCCGACUGUCAUUCAGUUGCCAUGAGACUUUAGGUUGCUGACCCACUUAGGAAGAUGAGGUUUUUCUGCAGAGCCCUGGCUCCUUGCUGCACUGGGUGAGCUGUAGAGCGUCAACUCAGAGGUCCCCAUCAAGGCCCCACAGUGCCACGGUCCAGGAUGAUACACUGUGGCAUCCAGCAAAGAGGAGCCCUCGUCCUUUUUUCCUUUUUAGAGGGGUCGUCUAUUGUAGCAGAAAUUCUACAAUUGUGUUCGGGUCUCUAACCUCGGGGAUGAAAAAGAUGAAGGGUUUGAUCUAUGUUGAAGGUGGAUUCUCUUUCAUCAUUACACACACACACACACACACACACACACAUCAAAGGCAAGAUACAAAAUUCAUGCAAAGAUACUGCAAUUCACCAGAAUCUCAAAUGACAUUGUGUCACAGAUCAAAGGACAUUGUGUCACAGGCCUGGACACACUCAUGGAGAGGUGCUCAUGACUGAACUUGUGUCCUUGGGUGAGGAAGUGCAGCUGAGUCCAUUUCUGAAGCCUACCUCUUGUCUCAUAGGGCUUU
rnacentral:lncRNA from 1 species